GUGCUCACUUCGGCAGCACAUAUGUUAAAAUUGGAAUGAUACAGAGAAGAACAGCAUGGCUACUACACAAGGGUGACACACAAAUUCAUGAAAUGUUCCAUAUUUUU